CAACAACCACCCGAGCCACUGCCUGUGUGUAUUUUCCCUCACUCAGAUCGUAUGUCGGUGGGUUGAUGGCCCUGCAGGCCUGUUUGAGGGACAACUGGACAGAACAUAUCAGAAUGCUUGGACCUCAGCUAAGACCCUCCUCUCCUUCCUUGUCUUUCAAGGGAAGACACUUCUCUACUAUUCCGGUUUGACAUGAUGCUCUCAAGGAUAACAUCAGGGAAAGCAGAGAGGAAGAGGACACUUCAGGGGGAAGCAGAGAGGAAGAGGACACUUCGGGGGAAGCAGAGAGGAAGAGGACACUUCAGGGGAAGCAGAGAGGAACAGGACACUUCAGGGGAAGCAGAGAGGAAGAGGACACUUCAGGGGAAGCAGAGAGGAAGAGGACACUUCGGGGGAAGCAGAGAGGAA